rnacentral:rRNA from 1 species
CCUACGGGGGACAGCAGUGAGGAAUAUUGGUCAAUGGGCGGGAGCCUGAACCAGCCAAGUCGCGUGAAGGAAGAAGGUCCUUAGGAUUGUAAACUUCUUUUGUCGGGGAACAAAGGCGGAGACGCGUGUCCGUUUGAGUGUACCCGAAGAAAAAGCACCGGCUAACUCCGUGCCAGCAGCCGCGGUAAUACGGAGGAUCCGAUCGUUAUCCGGAUUUAUUGGGUUUAAGGGGGGGGCAGGCGGGAGUUCACGUCAGCGGUAAAAUGUCGGGGCUCAACCCCGGCGGGCCGUUGAAACUGGUUUUCUAGAGUGCGAGAGAGGUAUGCGGAAUUCGUGGUGUAGCGGUGAAAUGCAUAGAUAUCACGAAGAACUCCGAUUGCGAAGGCAGCAUACCGACUCGAUACUGACGCUGAAGCACGAAAGCGUGGGUAUCGAACAGGAUUAGAUACCCUGGUAGUC